rnacentral:rRNA from 1 species
UACGUAGGCAGCAAGCGUUGUUCGGAGUUACUGGGCGUAAAGGGUGCGUAGGUGGCUCUAUAAGUAUGGUGUGAAAUCUCCCGGCUUAACUGGGAGGGUGCGCCGUAGACUGUGGGGCUAGAGUGUGGGAGAGGAAAGUGGAAUUCCUGGUGUAGCGGUGAAAUGCGUAGAUAUCAGGAGGAACACCGGUGGUGUAAACGGCUUUCUGGACCAUAAACUGACACUGAGGCACGAAAGCGUGGGUAGCAAACAGG